rnacentral:rRNA from 1 species
AACGAACGCUGGCGGCAUGCCUAACACAUGCAAGUCGAACGAGACCUUCGGGUCUAGUGGCGCACGGGUGCGUAACGCGUGGGAACCUGCCCUUAGGUUCGGAAUAACUCCCCGAAAGGGGUGCUAAUACCGGAUAAUGUCUUCGGACCAAAGAUUUAUCGCCUUUGGAUGGGCCCGCGUUGGAUUAGCUAGUUGGUAGGGUAAAAGCCUACCAAGGCGACGAUCCAUAGCUGGUCUGAGAGGAUGAUCAGCCACACUGGGACUGAGACACGGCCCAGACUCCUACGGGAGGCAGCAGUGGGGAAUAUUGGACAAUGGGCGAAGGCCUGAUCAAGCAAUGCCGCGUGAGUGAUGAGGGCCUUAGGGUUGUAAAGCUCUUUUACCCGGGAUGAUAAUGACAGUACCGGGAGAAUAAGCUCCGGCUAACUCCGUG